GCCUGGGUGGCUCAGUCAGUUGAGUGUCUGACUUCAGCUCAGGUCAUGAUCUCACAGUUUGUGGGUUCGAGCCCCAUGUGAGGCU
rnacentral:tRNA from 1 species